CGACUUUUCGUCACUCUCACUCACAACUGCCUCUCCUCGGUCUCACUCGUAACUACCUCCCCCACUCUCGCUCUACAACUACAACGUAGUUUCACUUUUCCUUUUCCUUCCAGUGCCCUAACCUGCCAUGGGUGUUGAAUCAGAGAUCAAAGGAUUAUAUUGCUUAUGGGAAAGGUGUGUGAGCCAUGUCCAAUGAUUAAAAAAAGCAGAUGUAGAUUUGUGCUAGAUUUUUUUAUGCCUCCUUCUUGCCCUUCAAAUAUCAAAUUGUCAAUGUCAUGUUUUGGACAAAAUUCAUCUAGCAACACAUUAAAUAUCAAAAGCAGCUCGAAAUUCAAAGUAAAAGGAUCUCCGAAACAAAGGACAAACAAUAGUUUAAGCUCUAACUCUUAUUCUCACAAGUCGUAAAUGAAGAGAAAACCAAAGAAGAAAAAGAAGCAGGUUAUUACCUAUGCCUAGUCUUGGGUUUUACUAACCUCAGUCAUUUAUAGCACAUUAUCCUCUUGUUACUGAUUUUAUUAACCAAUACCAAUCAAUAAUAUUUAGAUUAACCCUAUUGGCUAAUGUCUAUUUAUUUAGCUUUCCAAAGGGUUCUUCAGUCAAGAACUUGGUUGAAAACAUUAUGGCCUCUAUCAAGUUUCAAUAUUUUGUUUCAUCAAAUCAAUUUGAUGA